UGGUUCCUUAGACCUGACAGCUCACCAUA
rnacentral:piRNA from 1 species